rnacentral:rRNA from 1 species
GACGAACGCUGGCGACGUGCCUAAUACAUGCAAGUCGAGCGGACUAAUGGGAGCUUGCUCCCGUUAGUUAGCGGCGGACGGGUGAGUAACACGUGGGCAACCUACCUGUAAGACUGGGAUAACUUCGGGAAACCGGAGCUAAUACCGGAUGACAUAAAGGAACUCCUGUUCCUUUAUUGAAAGAUGGCUUCGGCUAUCACUUACAGAUGGGCCCGCGGCGCAUUAGCUAGUUGGUGAGGUAACGGCUCACCAAGGCGACGAUGCGUAGCCGACCUGAGAGGGUGAUCGGCCACACUGGGACUGAGACACGGCCCAGACUCCUACGGGAGGCAGCAGUAGGGAAUCUUCCGCAAUGGACGAAAGUCUGACGGAGCAACGCCGCGUGAGCGAUGAAGGCCUUCGGGUCGUAAAGCUCUGUUGUUAGGGAAGAAUAAGUGCUAGUUGAAUAAGCUGGCACCUUGACGGUACCUAACCAGAAAGCCACGGCUAACUACGUGCCAGCCGCCGCAGUAACAC